rnacentral:lncRNA from 1 species
AUGGCUCCCGGCGCGGGGGGCGCUCCCCCUGGCGGCCGCCCCCCCUGCCUUGCCCCGACCUUCCUCCACCUCCUCCUCCUCCUCCUCCUCCUCCUCCUCCUCCUCCUGCUGCCCCCAGCGGCCCGGGAGGAACUGAACGGGCGCCGCACAGGAAGUAGCGGCUGCGGGGAGCAGUGGUGGUGGCGGUGGAGGAGGAGGAGGAGGAGGCAGAGGCAGCAGCAGCAGCAGCAGCAUCAGGGGCUGCGGCGCUCCAUGAGCCCAGGCUCCCGCAGCCGCCCGGCCCCGCUCGUCCCCGGCACUCAGCGCCCAAGCCCGGGGGCUGGAGCUUCCCGAGGAGAAGGAGGAGGAGGAGGAGGGAGGCAGGCAAAUGAGAAAGCAAAUCUCUUGAAACAUAAGCAGUGGUACUUCCCUGGAGGGAGGAGAUGGGAAUUCUCCUGUUACUCUGAGAGUUGCCAGGUGCCAGAAGUGGUCCACAGUGGUGGUGUCUCUCAUGCAUAAAAGGUGACAGCAAAAGUGGAAGGCUGAUGAGACCCCACUGACACAGCAAGAGGACAGUUUUUCAGGGUAAGAUUUUAAAACCCCGAAGCGUCUAGUGUCAGAUGUUGACAUUUUAAUGAUGAUCUCCAUGAUACCCUGCCCUCUUUGUGGGCUAUUAAUAGCUUUUUUAUAGGAAAGUAAUUUACUCCUGGUGAUUUUGCACACACAUGCAGCGUUGCUUUAGUAUUUUAAAAUGUUUCAAGGUCUAUUAUAGGAUGAGUCUUUUGCCACAAAACUUUAAUCUUUGUGAGAUUUUCUUCAAAGCUCAGAUUUGCAUAGCAAUACCUACUGGAUCAUCCACAGACUGUUCAGGGCAUGUUUUCUGUCUCCAUGCAAAGGUAUACUCCAUUUGAAGUUCUAGUUUUCCCUGCUAUGAAAAAACGCUAAAGCAUUCAUCAUAGGUUAUAUUGGGUGGGCAAAUAACCACUUCUGUGAGUCCCAGGUAUUCUUGGACCAAAUUUUACACAUACAUUAGUUAUUACACCUGAAUCUGGUUAAUAUUGAUCGUCUGCAGCUUUGGUAGGUGAAGGGAUGAACAAAGCCUUGUUACAGUGUGGUGGUGACCAGCUACUUUCAGAGCCAGUUCUGCAGAAUGCUUUUGCUCGGGCUCAUUGCCAUCAGUGUAAAAGCAAUACCCAAGCGAUGUGUGAAAACCUAUUUUUUGUGGAUUUGCCGUUUCAUAGCUUAUUUUUUCUGUUUAUACAGCCCCAAUUUUUGCCUUUCUUCUUUUUGUGUAAGGCCUGAAAAAGCCAUUGAUGCAAGUGUUACUGAGAAGCAAAGAUAUGCUGGUGGGGGACAGGAUUGUAUGAAUUGUGCAUGGCUGCUGAAUUUUCAAGUUCUGCUUCUGUUUGGACUUGAGCUUCUGGUAUCCAGCCCUGCAGGCUGCAAAGCCUGGUGCCUGUGCCCCUUGUGUAGUGCGUGCCUGGGUCUUUUAUCUCUGGUCGAUGGAGCCUGCGAGGAGGAAUCGUCUGGAAACGAAAUGUCCUGAAUGAGGUGGAUGGCCAUGCUGGAAGCUGCAUGGGUUGAAUAAUCCCAUGAAUAAUUCCUUCACCACCUUGAUUGUUUAGAUAAAUCCAGAGCGGGUCGAUAGAUAUUAAUAUGGAUUAGAGAAAUUUUACUGAGAGCUUUUCAGUGUCCCAGUGGACACUUCUUAUGCAGAGCAAAUCUCCAUUUCAUGAACCAAAGCACAAAUGGUACCAGCAGGCACGCACUCAAAGAGGUGAGGGACUGACUUAUGGGGAGGCUGAAUUAUGAUAGCAUUUCUCGUAAUGGCUGGCCCCUCUUGUUGAGGCUCGUGCAUAAGCAGAGGCCCUAUGGGUACCAUCUGCUGUUUUUGUCCUUACUACACGUCUUCGUGGGGAGAUUUCUUUUUCUCAGGCUUGCCAGCAUGACAAUUUUGUAGCAAUUAUUGGAAGAGUCAUUUUUAAUAUAAAUUUAGUUGGGGGUCACAGGAAAAAAAAAAAAGGCAAAGACAAAGAUCCAGCAGGCUACAACAAGAAGCAGCUCACAAAAGCAGCAAUGACAAUCGCAAUUUCAAGAGUUUCUUUUAGUUCAAGCAAGGAGAAACGUAAAGUACGUUUUGUGAGAUUUUCUUCAAAGCUCAGAUUCACAGAGCAGUACCUACUGGAUCAUCCACAGACUGUUCAGGGCAUGUUUUCUGACUCCAUGCAAAGGUAUACUCCAUUUGAAGUCGUAGUUUUCCCUGGAACAGAGGUUGGCUCUCCUUAUGAUUUUCAUCUGGAAGAAGUAAGUGUACCGGCUGUGUUUUGUGAAGCACUCAGUCGUCAUGACUUUUGAAGAGAGCGGGACUACACCACUCCCAAGUUUUGAUCCCCAGGAGGCUGAGGGAAGGGGCAGCACUGUCAGAAGAUGCUGGCUGCGCUUGGGAGCAGGACCUGGCACUGUUCAGUCCUGCCAGCGUGGUCAAGGACCAGUCUGAGCAUGGGAGAUUCAGUGGAAAUCAAAGGCCCAUAAGCUGAAUCUCCAGGCCGCGGGCAAGAGAAUUUUAUAACUACUGCCUCUAAGAGCA